rnacentral:rRNA from 1 species
UACGAGGGGGGCAAGCGUUGUUCGGAAUUAUUGGGCGUAAAGGGUGCGUAGGCGGUUUGGUAAGUCUUAUGUGAAAUCUACAGGCUCAACUUGUAGUCUGCAUGAGAAACUGCCGGGCUUGAGUAUGGGGAGAGGUGAGUGGAAUUCCUGGUGUAGCGGUGAAAUGCGUAGAUAUCAGGAGGAACACCUGUGGCGAAAAGCGGCUCACUGGACCAUAACUGACGCUGAUGCACGAAAAGCUAGGGGGAGCAAAACAGG